UUGGACCUGAUAUCAGGUAAGACUACCCGCUGAACUUAAGCAUAUUAAUAAGCGGAGGAAAAGAAACUAACAAGGAUUCCCCUAGUAACGGCGAGUGAAGCGGGAUGAGCUCAAGCUUAAAAUCUCUGUGCCAGUUUGGCAUGGCGAAUUGUAGUCUAUGGAGGCGCUGUCAGUGCGAUUGCGUGGGUUAAGUUCCUUGGAAGAGGACAGCAUCGAGGGUGAUACUCCCGUGUAUGCCUGUGCAAUUGUGCGUACGACACGUUUUCUUUGAGUCGCGUUGUUUGGGAAUGCAGCGCAAAGUAGGUGGUAAAUUCCAUCUAAAGCUAAAUAUUGGUGCGAGACCGAUAGCGAACAAGUACCGUGAGGGAAAGAUGAAAAGAACUUUGAAAAGAGAGUUAAAGAGUACCUGAAACUGCUGAAAGGGAAUCGAAUCGUUUCCAGUGUCUAUAAUCUGUGGCAUAUUUCAUUGGCGAGUGUGUGCGUGCAUUGUUUUGGAAGCAGUUUUCUGUUCCUGGCUGUGUUGUGCAUAUGCUUGCUGGUGCCCUGUGUCGCGGUGGGACGUCAGAGUCAAUUCGUAAGUUGCGGGAAAUGGCUAUUGGGGAGGUAGGUCACUUCGGUGGCUGUUAUAUCCUGAUAGCUAGUAGUCGUGGCUGGGAUUGAGGUGCCUACAACGUGCUUUCGAGUGUCUGGGUGUCUCGUUUGGUAAGUUAUCUUGACAGCUUGCUGUGUUGGUGAUAUUAUCGAGCGAUUGAUGUCUGGUCUAACUUGUUGCCGUUCGGGACUUUGACGAAAUGGAGCGAUCCGUCCCGUCUUGAAACACGGACCAAGGAGUCUAACAUGUGUGCAAGUGUUCGGGUGUGGAAACCCAAACGCGAAAUGAAAGUGAAGGGCAGUUUACUGUCUGAGGUAGGAAACCUUUGUUCUCAAGGGUGGCACUAUCGACCGAUCAUGAACCUUCGUGGUGAAAGAUUUGAGUUUGAGCACAUAUGUUGGUACCCGAAAGAUGGUGAACUAUGCCUGAGUAGGGUGAAGCCAGGGGAAACUCUGGUGGAGGCUCGUAGCGAUUCUGACGUGCAAAUCGAUCGUCAAACUUGGGUAUAGGGGCGAAAGACUAAUCGAACCAUCUAGUAGCUGGUUCCCUCCGAAAUUUCCCUCAGGAUAGCAGCAACUUCUUUUCGAUAGUUUUAUGAGGUAAAGCGAAUGAUUAGAGGCCUCUGGGAAGAAACUUCCUGGACCUAUUCUCAAACUUUAAAUCUGUAAGACCUGCAGGUUUCUUAAUUGAACUUGUGGAUGUGAAUAUCAAGUUGCUAGUGGGCCAUACGGGGUAAGCUCGUCUGGCGAUGCGGGAUGAACCGAACGUGAUGUUAAAGUGCCAAAGUGCCCGCUCACCUAGAUACCAUAAAAGGUGUUGGUUCAUUUAGACAGCAGGACGGGUGGCCAUGGAAGUCGGAAUCCGCUAAGGAGUGUGUAACAAC
rnacentral:rRNA from 1 species